AUUCUGCCCAUGCGGGGAAGGAUGAGAAGCUUCGACCAAGGUUCGACUUGAGCGCCAGCGAGAGAGCGUUGCCGUAGGCAACGACCCGAAGGGCGAAGCGCGCAGCGCUGAGUAAUCCUUCCCCCACCACCA
rnacentral:sRNA from 1 species